GAUGAACGCUGGCGGCGUGCCUAAUACAUGCCAGUCGAGCGCACAGACGAGGAGCUUGCUCCUCUGACGUUAUCGGCCGACGGGUGAGUAACACGUGGAUAACCUACCUAUAAGACUGGGAUAACUUCGGGAAACCGGCGCUAAUACCGGAUAAUAUAUUGAACCGCAUGGUUCACUCGUGAAAGACGGUUUUGCUGUCACUUAUAGAUGGAUCCGCGCCGCAUUCGCUAGUUGGUAAGGUAACUGCUUAGCAAGGCAACGAUGCGUAGCCGACCCGAGAGGGUGAUCGGCCACACUGGAACUGAGACACGGUCCAGACUCCUACGGGAGGCAGCAGUAGGGAAUCUUCCGCAAUGGGCGAAAGCCUGACCGAGCAACGCCGCGUGAGUGAUGAAGGUCUUCGGAUCGGAAAACUCUGUUAUUAGUGAAGAACAAAUGUGUAAGUAACUAUGCACGUCUUGACGGUACCUAAACAGAAAGCCACGGCUAACUACGUG
rnacentral:rRNA from 1 species